UGGCCCAUCUCCAGCUUGGACUGCCAGAGGAAAUGUCCGCGUUUUUCAGUGCACAAAAUCAUUAUCCGAAUAUUGAAUACUGAAUUUCACAUAACUGAAAGGCUUGAAAAUAGGUCAGAAACAGACCAACAGGGGACGCCGUUUGCCAUUGCAGCCUCAAGUCACGUUAUUACUCGUCUUCCGCUACAUGCUCGCGCUAAACUAAUUUACAGGUUUAAACGACGUAGGUUGACGAUCAUCUUCAUCAUCAUUAUUAAGAGGUGGAAAUGACAGUAGAUCUGUACCAUCCCCUGGCUCAUGACCUGCUACUGAAAUACUUCAAGUCAAUCGAUAAAACAGUGGUGCGUUUCCCAGCUAAUGUCAAGUGUCUGAGGACCACCACCUUGAUGCAUUAUUAAAUGCACAUACGCAGACUGGAGGCAAAGACGUGGAACAGAAGCCCCGGCGAAAUGAACGCAAGAUCUGACAGAGAGAGCGAAAGAGGGAGAGAAAACUUAAUUGAAGCCUGAUUACUGGCCCUUG
ensembl:lncRNA